rnacentral:lncRNA from 1 species
GUUGACAUUUGAUUCUUGAAGAACUACAACAGAACUUAGUGCUUGCUUAUUCCCUGCUUGUGGAGCCGUACGAUGAAAGAGAGAUUUUGUCACCUUACAGAUCUGUCAAGAGAACCAGACUUGGAAAUGAUAACAGAGGAAGAACAAGGAAAGCUUGAUGAAGAUGAGAAUAACCAUGCACAGGUUGAAGAAGAAAAGAAGCACAAAGGAGUGAAGUGGACGUAUCAGAGAACAUAUGUGAUGCUGCUGAUGAGAGUGGGUUGUUUCAGCAGAGAAAGAGUGGAGGAAACAGCAACCAGUAGUUUCCUGCUAUGCAGAAUGAGGGUUCUGAUAGGUAAUCCUAUAUCAAUAUUUAACAGCAUGUCCCUUGUUAUUUUCCUAUAA